rnacentral:lncRNA from 1 species
AGAAAUAUCGUACUGCUCUGUUUUGUAUCAUAUCAAUGCCAUGAUAAGUAUUGUAGCCCCAAACACCAGAGCAAUAAUCUAAAACAGGGCUGAUACAGAAGUUAAACACAGUUUCAAAGGUUUUAAAUCCAAUUUCUUUGUAUGAAUGAACUUUUGAAAUAGCAGCACCAAGUGCUCUACCACCGGCUUUGGCAAAUGCAUCCGCUGCAGCAGUAUACUUAAGUUUCUCGCUAAAAAUAACGCCCAGGUACUUGUAUUGCUCAACUAUUUGUAGUUGUUCAUUUCCAAUUUUGAAUGUUGAACUGGUCCGUGGAAUUCGACCUUUCCGGAAGUGCAUAACACUUGAUUUUGCACUAUUUACGUUUAAUCUCCAUUUCUCACACCAUUUAUUAAGUACAUCAAGAACAACUUGCAUAUCGCGUUCGUUUUCAGUCACUAAAGCAAUAUCAUCGGCGUACAACAAUAUACUGAUGUUUUCAUUUUCUAC